CAGCAUGGAUAUGCUUGUUGCCUUGAGUUGUUUGUAAAAAUAAUAAAGGCAGGAUAUAAAUAAAUGAAUUAAAACAAUAGAACUAAGAAUACAUUGGCUUCUAGAGGCUGCCGUUCCUAUCCUUAUUGCCCCCCACACCACCAAUUGGAUAAAAACACCCCAUUCUUUUGUCUUAAGAGCAAGAAUAGUUUGAUUUUCAUAUUUCUCUGUUCAAUAUUCCCACCUUUAAACAACCUAACAAUCAAAAUGGGUUGAAAAAAAAUAAUAUCGUUACUGGUCAAUGUCCUGCAAGCUUCCAAAAUGUUGAGCUGUUGAAAGUGUAUCAUUGCCUGCUGCUGAUUGAUGGCUUAACUCAGGAGUACACAUCCUCCCUCUCCCAAAUAUUACAGCUGCCUAAUAGAGCUGUAAAAAAAUCAGUCUUAUUUUAUGAUAGCUGGGGAUAUCUGUAGCUCAGGAUUGAACUGUGGGAUCCUUGGUGUUCUCUGGGCUUGGUGCUUUUCCUUUCCUAGUUUCAUUAUCAAAUUAAGUAACAUCAGUGCUAGAAGGGAGUGGAGAGGGUUGCCUGUUACAUGAAAAAAAAAUCUACUUCUGUUGUGUCUUUGUGCCUGUUGUACAGUAAAUAAAAUAAUAGAAGGGGAUCUAUCAUAAUCUAGUUUGCAGAACGUAAGGUAUGGGCAAGAAGCCAAGGUUCCUGUGCACACUGCCAUAUUCUCUCCUCUCUGGCGACCCCUAGGUUUAUCGGAGGCCAUGUGUGUUCAGAUUUGGAGAGGUCACAAUUGUUGGUCUGGAAGAACUGGAAUUGGAAAUAAAGUUCAGAUUCUAAUUUCUGCAAACCAAGAAUGUGUUGAUUAAUGAAAGAUGAAUUAAAUCUUGCAACUGUGGGCACUUGCAGGUGGCAAGGGACUUUGCAUGCAUCACAAUCUCAUCAGACAAAUGAUGUAGAAGACAUAAUUCAAAUCAUUUGCUCAAAGAUGUGCUCUCUAUGAUAUCAAGACUUCUGACCACCCGGGCUUUCAUCUUAAAGGGCCACUUGCAAUAGGGACAGGGGUGGGAUUCUCCAGUU